GAUGAACGCUGGCGGCGUGCUUAACACAUGCAAGUCGAACGGAAAGGCUCCUGCUUGCAGGGGUACUCGAGUGGCGAACGGGUGAGUAACACGUGGGUGAUCUGCCCUGCACUUCGGGAUAAGCCUGGGAAACUGGGUCUAAUACCGGAUAGGACGAUGGUUUGGAUGCCAUUGUGGAAAGUUUUUCGGUGUGGGAUGAGCUCGCGGCCUAUCGGCUUGUUGGUGGGGUAAUGGCCUACCAAGGCGUCGACGGGUAGCCGGCCUGAGAGGGUGUACGGCCACAUUGGGACUUAGAUACGGCCCAGACUCCUACUGGUGGCAGCAGUGGGGAAUAUUGCACAAUGGGCGCAAGCCUGAUGCAGCGACGCCGCGUGGGGGAUGACGGCCUUCGGGUUGUAAACUCCUUUCGCUAGGGACUAAGCGUUUUGUGACGGUACCUGGAGAAGAAGCACCGGCUAACUACGUG
rnacentral:rRNA from 1 species